GUAGGUGGCAAGCGUUGUCCGGGAAUUAUUGGGGCGUAAAGCGCGCGCAGGCGGUUCUUUGAGUCUGAUGUGAAAGCCCACGGGCUCAACCGUGGAGGGUCAUUGGAAACUGGAGAACUUGAGUACAGAAGAGGAAAGCGGAAUUCCACGUGUAGCGGUGAAAUGCGUAGAGAUGUGGAGGAACACCAGUGGCGAAGGCGGCUUUCUGGUCUGUAACUGACGCUGAGGCGCGAAAGCGUGGGGAGCAAACAGGAUUAGAUACCCUGGUAGUCCACGCCGUAAACGAUGAGUGCUAAGUGUUAGGGGGUUUCCGCCCCUUAGUGCUGCAGCUAACGCAUUAAGCACUCCGCCUGGGGAGUACGGCCGCAAAGGCUGA
rnacentral:rRNA from 1 species